rnacentral:rRNA from 1 species
UAAUACGAAGGGGGCGAGCGUUGUUCGGAAUCACUGGGCGUAAAGGGCGCGUAGGCGGCGCGGGAAGUCAGGCGUGAAAGCCCCGGGCUCAACCUGGGAGGUGCGCUUGGGACUCUCGUGCUUGAGUUCGGGAGAGGAGAGUGGAAUUCCCAGUGUAGAGGUGAAAUUCGUAGAUAUUGGGAAGAACACCGGUGGCGAAGGCGGCUCUCUGGACCGAGACUGACGCUGAGGCGCGAAAGCGUGGGGAGCAAACAGGAUUAGAUACCCUGGUAGUCCACGCGGUAAACGAUGUGUGCUAGACGUUGGGGAGCCUAGCUCUUCGGUGUCGCAGCUAACGCUUUAAGCACACCGCCUGGGGAGUACGGCCGCAAGGUUA